rnacentral:rRNA from 1 species
GAUGAACGUUGGCGGUGUGCCUAAUACAUGCAAGUCGAACGGAGACUGUAGCAAUACUGUCUUAGUGGCGAACGGGUGAGUAACGCGUUGGUGAUCUGCCUCGAAGUGUGGAAUAACCUCCCGAAAGGGAAGCUAAUACCGCAUAGUCUCUCAAGGUUUAGAAAAUUGAGAGUAAAGGAUUUAUUCGCUUCGAGAGGAGCCUGCGUCCCAUCAGCUAGUUGGUAGGGUAACGGCCUACCAAGGCAAUGACGGGUAGGGGACCUGAGAGGGUGGCCCCCACAAUGGAACUGAAACACGGUCCAUACACCUACGGGUGGCAGCAGUAGGGAAUAUUAGAAAUGGGCGGAAGCCUGAUCUAGCAACACCGCGUGUGCGAUGAAGGCCUUGGGUCGUAAAGCACUUUUUGGAGGGAAUAGGAAGGAAGGUACCUCCAGAAUAAGUCUCGGCUAACUACGUG